CUUGCUUCUCUUGAGAGCGGCGGACGGGUGAGUAAUGCCUAGGAAUCUGCCUGGUAGUGGGGGAUAACGUCCGGAAACGGACGCUAAUACCGCAUACGUCCUACGGGAGAAAGCAGGGGACCUUCGGGCCUUGCGCUAUCAGAUGAGCCUAGGUCGGAUUAGCUAGUUGGUGGGGUAAUGGCUCACCAAGGCGACGAUCCGUAACUGGUCUGAGAGGAUGAUCAGUCACACUGGAACUGAGACACGGUCCAGACUCCUACGGGAGGCAGCAGUGGGGAAUAUUGGACAAUGGGCGAAAGCCUGAUCCAGCCAUGCCGCGUGUGUGAAGAAGGUCUUCGGAUUGUAAAGCACUUUAAGUUGGGAGGAAGGGCAGUAAAUUAAUACUUUGCUGUUUUGACGUUACCGACAGAAUAAGCACCGGCUAACUCUGUGCCAGCAGCCGCGGUAAUACAGAGGGUGCAAGCGUUAAUCGGAAUUACUGGGCGUAAAGCGCGCGUAGGUGGUUCGUUAAGUUGGAUGUGAAAUCCCCGGGCUCAACCUGGGAACUGCAUUCAAAACUGACGAGCUAGAGUAUGGUAGAGG
rnacentral:rRNA from 1 species